UUGUUACCAAAGCGGCGAUUUCUCUCUAUUCCUUGGUUUUCACUGCCAUUUUCUUGCCCAUUUCCUCAAUUAAAGUGAAGAGUUAUUUCCUCCACCUUUGUUGUAUGCCAUUAUUCUGUUAUGUCGGUCACUGGUUAUCACAAAUGCUAAGCUUUUCUUCUUGAUGAACAAAACCUCAAAUGGUUGAAAGAGUAACACCUAUGAAUCUGCGCGAAAAACACCCAUAUCUUGUUCAGAUCAAGUCCUGUAAAAUUGCUCGUAUUAAGCAUUUUAAUGGCAUGUUAAAAGCCCCUUCUUAUUGGUGUUUAAUUUUUGAAGUAUAUACACUUAUCAUUUCUGACUUUUAAACUUUAUUCUGGGCUUGAGGAUUUUCAAGAGAUGCAAGAUUUGAAGACAUUGCAAGUUAACAAAGUGAUUGUUAUUUAGCUAGGGACUAUUGGAAAAUACAAUAUAUUUU